GUUUAGCCAAAAAUGGGUGAGAUGGUCCAGAUUCUCCCUUUGGAGAAUUUGAAUGACUGGUUAGCAGUGGGAGCUAAAGGGAUAUACAGUACAGACAGAGUCCAUGGGAUAGAACAAGCAAAACUGAUAAGAAACCAGAUAUUACCAUGAGCAGAAGCUGUGGGGUAGCGAAGAAAUGCAGGGCAUGGGUCCCACACUCAAAUGCCCUCGGCAGUAGACAGGCAGUGCCAAUGAGAGAAGAGGGCGCGGCGAAGGUGAUCCCGCACGUAAAGAUUCCGGACUGCCAAGCUCAUGCCACGCCCAGAGACUUCGGAAUUCUCAACAAUGCAAAGGCGUCCUGCUGGCCAAACACAAUGAGUCUGCAGGCUGAAAUAGGUCAGGAGCUGCCAGUUUGCAAAUUCCAAAGAAAGGACGAGGAAGUCAGUUAGGGGCAAGCCCAGAAACCGAACGACACUGACAAGCACAGAGGCAAGGGAGAGCAGAUUCACAAAAAUAACUCAUCGCUGAGGUGAACUCCCGAUGCUGAAGUCCUGAGGCUUGAUGCAGGGCAGCAGGGCAAUCUUGGAAGCUCCAUAUUGAAGAUGGUGGAGGCACAGUUUGAAAGGAGUCUGGGUUGGAGGAGAGCUACAGGCAGAUCAGGAACACCCAUCUUGGAUUUGACCUGAGUGAAAAAUAAACUGCAAUCAUUAUGUUAAAACACUUACAUAUUUGGGGGGAUUUUUUGUUUAUCUUGUGAAAAUGCUCAUUAACCUCUAUUGUCAUAAUAAAAAUCCUUAAAGUUGGUGCUAAAAAUAAAUGCA
rnacentral:lncRNA from 1 species